AUGAACGCUGGCGGCGUGCUUAACACAUGCAAGUCGUGCGCGAAGGUGGCUUCGGCUACCGGAGAGCGGCGAACGGGUGAGUAACACGUGGGUGAUCUGCCUGGGAGCGGGGGAUAACCUGGGGAAACUGCGGCUAAUACCGAAUACGUCCUAAGGGAGAAAGAUUUAUCGCUGUUGGAGGGGCCCGCGUCGGAUUAGCUGGUUGGUGAGGUAACGGCUCACCAAGGCAUCGAUCCGUAGCUGGUCUGAGAGGAUGAUCAGCCACACUGGGACUUAGACACGGCCCAGACUCCUACGGGAGGCAGCAGUGGGGAAUAUUGGACAAUGGGGGCAACCCUGAUCCAGCAAUGCCGCGUGAGUGAUGAAGGCCUUAGGGUUGUAAAGCUCUUUUACCGGGGACGAUGAUGACGGUACCCGGAGAAUAAGCCCCGGCUAACUUCGUGCCAGCCGCCGCGUAAU
rnacentral:rRNA from 1 species